CCUUGGCUCCUCUCCGUAAGUGGUAACCAUUUUAGGAACGGGAGCCAUUUUAGAAUGUAGGACCGUUGGUUCCAUUUUGUCUGGUAGAGAACUCUAUCAGUUGGAAACUCUGUGUAACAUGGAGCAGAACUCUUUGGAUCAUCACAGACAUGGCAUACAAGGCUUGCUGCCUGGACUGAGUGAGGAACGGGAGGUGCUCUUCAGAGACUGCCUUGAAAAGUCUUGGGGAAGAGACAGACUCCAUCCCAAUACAUUCAUCUCGGCUAUAUAUUUUUGAAGACAACUUGUUUUAAUUAUUUACAGUUCUGAAGAUCGAACUCGGGACCUUGUGCUUGCAAGGCAGGAAAUGGCAUUACUCAGCUAAAUCUCCGCCCCAAUGAUGCUUUUCUUAAAAUGAGAACAAAUCCAAAUCUCAAGGUCUUAUCUUGUACUGAGACCAGUUUUUACAUUUCAAUGACCUAAGGACCUGGAAUGUUAAUGAUCUUACUGAACUGCUCCUGAAGAAUCCCCAUCAAUGGACCUGACUUCAGUUGGAUUGAUAGAUUACUUCUCACCACUCAGAAACCAGAAAUACAGAGACGAAGCAAUGAGCAGGAGGUUAGAGUAUAAUGGAUCCAAGUUUCACAAAGUGCAGGUUCACAGUAAAUCCACUUCAGAGAGGAAGGCUGGGGAAAACCCACCGAUGGGCCUCGAAAGCUGAGCGAUUCCUGAUAUGACGCACCGAGCUGCAGCAGUGCCACAAGAGCAUAACUGAAUCGCAUCCUGAGGAAACACCAGUCAAACUGAACUUAGGGACAUUCAGCGACGGUCCCGAGCCCUUCAAAGAUCUCCGUGUCACAAAACGCAGAGUCCCGGGAUCUGUUCCUAAUUAAAAGAUACUAACAAAACAGAACAACUGGCAGGAUUUUCUCUUGCUACGAGGACAUUUUGGGACAAACAACUGGGAAAUCUGAGCAAAAUGUGUAGAGUAUUUUAUGGCUGUUAAUUUCCUGAUUUCAGUGAUUGGACUGGGACGAGGCAAGAGAUUUCUUCAUGUUAGGAGACACACGCAGAAGGAGUUAGUGUAAAGGUGCAUCUGAUCCUCAUUGGACAAAUGGCUCAGACAAAAAAAAAAAAAAAUCUGGGAAGUGCCAAAUAAGGACUUCCUGUGUUUCCUUAUUUAUCUGCCGCUCAGUGGGCUUUGUGCAAAGGAUGGGUGGGAGUGAGGAGCAGCCUCCACACAGCUGUUCAGGGAUGUCUGCAAAAGCAGCCCACCCACAUUGCUUUUGGACACUGGGUGUGAUUUGGAGGGUAUCAGGUUUGUCUGUGAGGGAAACUGCCAGCCUCCUCCCUGGCCAAUUGGUUUCUGUGUUUCCUUGCUGGCCCUCUGAAUAGAAAAGUCCUUUUCCUCAGGAUAUCCCCCAGAAGCAUCUUUUUCUUCACAGUGGAAUCUAAGACAUUAGUUUAACUACAGUUUUCUCUUUGAUGAAUUCUAGGACCUGCAAAAAUGUAGAGGUUAAAUCUGAUGAACCACAUGGCUAAGCUUGCGAUGUAUUUGCUUUUUCAUUGAAUUAAAACAAAAAAUUGGUUGCUUUCCAGUACGCUUAAUUUCCAGACCCAGCUUUCUUCCUAUUUGUCAGGCUGUAGGAAAUAUUAUACUUACCGAACACAAAGUUGGAAGAAUUAGUUGGAUCCCCCCACCCCCCGCCCACUCACACACCAAAGCCAAGCUUUGGUUUCCUCUUCUAUAAAGAAGAGAUUGGUAGAACUAAGGUUAUGGACAGAAAAGUACUACAUAACUAAAAAUUAUCAAGCUUUUCAGUUCCUUCAAUUUUGGAGACAUUUGUAUAUUGAUUCUACCAAGUUGUAUGCUAGAAGGUUCUCUCCUAAUUCUCCUAUUUAAAAAAAGUGGUACAGGUCAGGAUGACCUGCUGAGGGCAGAGCCUGAGGUUCAGCCACCUGACACAAAGGAAUUCGGCUUCUCUGACAAUGCAGUGCUCACACACACACAGCCUGGCAGAGCUCUAGGGAACACGCAAGAUCAAAUGAUUCAAGACUUGCAUGGCAACAUCUGUGGUUCCCCAUUGCCCAUCACCUACCACUUUUUUCUUGGCUAACAGAACCUCUAUUUUCAUUUGAAAGCUCUUUCUGCAGUCAAGGUGAAGGUAUCAGUCAAGGUGUUCGGGCUCUUCCUGACCCAACAUGGCAUCUCUCCUAUGGGAAUUUGAAUCUUAAACUCAGUGACUCAAGUAUAAACAAUCUGUGGGAACUGAGUUAUUCUCACUGGCACUGUGAACUAAAUCUGUGUUCAUUACUAUUAAUGAGGUCUCUACAACUAUCCUGGUUCUGGCCCUUUAUAAUACCUAAUUAUCAAUGUUUUCUUACACUCUGAAUUUUCAUGUUUCUUUUUACCUGUUUUCACAGUGUUGGUUUUAGCUAAGCAAAGUUAGUUUCUAUUGCUUACACAGAAAAAGUUCUAACUGAUACAUCUUUGCUCUUUAAAAAUAAAGAAUCUAAUUUUCAAAGAGAGUAGACUACUUGAUUAGGGUCUGAAAGUAAAUUAGGACCAGAACCCAGGCAAACACAGAUUAGCCAACUUCUUUCCACUAGGAACAUAACCUAUCUCCUUUAGAGUUAUAGUAUUCUUGCAAGGAAGGAUCUACUACAUUUCUAGAUAACUCAAAUGGACCAAGAGCAAGUUCAGGGCUGUAUUAUCACUGAGCUUUUAAAAAGCCUACUGGACUCUAGUUAUAGCCAUAAUUGAGUAUGUAAGACUAUAAUUUGUUCUUCAUUGUCCAAAAAAAGAACACUAGUCAUUAUAUGCAAAUUAUAC
ensembl:lncRNA